AAAAAGGCACUAAUUUAUUUAGAAUUUCUUAAAUCUAUAAUUUGAGUAAAAAUAUGAGAAGCACAAUAACAAAAUUAUGGCAGACUUGAACAUUACAAAUAAUACAAGUUGCACAGUUUGGCUCCUUAUGCGUUACCUGGGACCAAAAAUAUGGUAAAAGGAAUAACCAUCUUCACUGAUAAUAAUUUACCGCACAGACCAGAGAAUAA
rnacentral:lncRNA from 1 species